GCCCUUGUAGCUCAGUGGUAGAGCGCUUCACUCGUAAUGAAGAGGUCCGCGGUUCAAUCCCGCGUGGGGGCA